rnacentral:rRNA from 1 species
UACGGAGGAUGCGAGCGUUAUCCGGAUUUACUGGGUGUAAAGGGAGCGUAGACGGCUAAUCAAGUCAGAAGUGAAAACCCAGGGCUCAACUUUGGGACUGCUUUUGAAACUGAGUAGCUAGAGUGCAGGAGAGGUAAGUGGAAUUCCUAGUGUAGCGGUGAAAUGCGUAGAUAUUAGGAGGAACACCAGUGGCGAAGGCGGCUUACUGGACGAUGACUGACGCUGAGGCUCGAAAGCGUGGGGAGCAAACAGG